GGAGUGGGCCGGGCGGUCGCGCGCAUCCGAAAGGGCGCGUGAGGAAAGUCCGGACUCCAACGGGCAAGGGUGCCUGCUAACAGCAGGGCGGGGCGACCCGACGGAUCAGUGCCACAGAAAAGAAAACCCCCGAGGGCGACCUCGAGGAAAGCUGAAACGGUGCGGUAAGAGCGCACCAGCGUCGCGGUGACGUGGCGGCUUGGCAAACCCCACCCGGAGCAAGGGCAAAUAGGAGCGGCUAAGACUGGCCCGGUCGUCGCUCGGGUAGGCCCGCGUGAGGCCGUGAGCAAUCACGGUCCCAGAUAAAUGACCGUCCACGACAGAAUCCGGCUUACAGGCCCACUCCACUC
rnacentral:RNase_P_RNA from 1 species